UACGGAGGGUGCAAGCGUUAUCCGGAUUCACUGGGUUUAAAGGGUGCGUAGGUGGGAAUGUAAGUCAGUGGUGAAAUCUCCGUGCUUAACAUGGAAACUGCCAUUGAUACUAUGUUUCUUGAAUCUUCCGGAGGUCAGCGGAAUAUGUCAUGUAGCGGUGAAAUGCUUAGAUAUGACAUAGAACACCAAUUGCGAAGGCAGCUGACUACGGGGGCAUUGACACUGAGGCACGAAAGCGUGGGGAUCAAACAGG
rnacentral:rRNA from 1 species